rnacentral:rRNA from 1 species
GAGACAGCAGCAGCCGCGGUAAUACAGAGGGUGCGAGCGUUAAUCGGAUUUACUGGGCGUAAAGCGUGCGUAGGCGGCUUCUUAAGUCGGAUGUGAAAUCCCUGAGCUUAACUUAGGAAUUGCAUUCGAUACUGGGAAGCUAGAGUAUGGGAGAGGAUGGUAGAAUUCCAGGUGUAGCGGUGAAAUGCGUAGAGAUCUGGAGGAAUACCGAUGGCGAAGGCAGCCAUCUGGCCUAAUACUGACGCUGAGGUACGAAAGCAUGGGGAGCAAACAGGAUUAGAGACCCCUGUAGUCCCUGUCUCUUAUAC